UUUAGGAGGGAAAGAGAAGUUGAAAAGGCCAGGGCGGUAAGGCGGCUAAGGUUGCAUUAUCAUCCUCUGCUCUCUUGUUUCUCGAAUCCUAACCGUGUCAACUAGUCCGAUCCUUGAACCAAUAUCUGGGAUCUGAUCUUGUGUUUCUCCAUCAUCUUCACAUUUCUCAUCUCUGGCAAUCUCAGCUAUAGUCUAUCCCAAAUCGGAACAUGCCUUUUGCGAUGGAUGUCUGGACGGCUCUGUGCAAAACAUAAUCAGUAAUGUGCAAGGCAAACUCAGCUAUAAUCUAUCCCAAAUUGGAACAUGCCUUUUGCGAUGGAUGUCUGGACGGCUCUGUGCAAAACAUGAUCAAGUUCAAUAUGACUGAGAAUCCCUAAAGCUUGAUAUUGCAUCUACAGGUGAAGUCCAUGUGCCACCUCAAGCAUUUUUAAAUUGUCAGAUCUCAAGCACGGAAAUCAAAACAUCAUAAAGUCUUAAUCUAACAGUUUCAUUUACUAACUAGAAAAGCGACAUGAGAAACUUAUCGGUUUUUGGAGGAGAUAUUCUCAAAACCUAUUGCUGGUUAGCGUUCAGCACAAGGCUGCCUUGAGGAAUCCAGAAUGUUAGGAUUCUAUAUCAUAUCAGGAUUUUGUGCAUUAAUCUAAUGGUUAAAGUGAAGAAGCAUUGGCAUGAAAUAAUGCAUAUUCAUGUCACCAUGUUUGCCAUAACUUUUCCAAUAAAAGAAUGCAAGGGUAACCAAAGCAACAACUGCAGAACUAAUGGCUAGUUUUGAAACUAAAGUAGCCAGUAGGUAGCUAUAGAGAAAGGAAGAAUCUACACUAUCACUUACCUCUCCAGAAACAAUGCUGAAUACCUGCUGUUGUCAAACCUGAUAGACCAAACUUGCAGUGAGUGCCAUUUAUUGAUUUCAUAUCAUUUUUCAUAACAGCAUUACUAUAUAUAUACCUUUGAAUAUUGUUGGUAUGGAGGUUCCAAAGUACACAGUUCGUCUGGGCAGGUUCCAUAUCCAUGCUCUAGGAACAUCAAUUGGAUUCAGACUAGAAUCAUGGUCAGCAAAUACCUACAUAGAGAACAUGUCAUUAACAUUAUCUAAACUGCAAAACUCAAAAGAUGCUUUAUAUCACCUGAAGGUGUCCUGCUAGCUUAUUACCUCGUUAACUUGAAAAUAUGUGCCAUUGAGGGGAAAGCUUCCCCUCAUCGCUGUUCGACAUGGUAUCUGUUUUUGACAUGUUAGAACAAUUGGUUAAUAUUUAAUUUAUAUGGAUUCCAACCUUCACUAAGAAGUCUUUUCAAGAGUACAGUUAUAUUGGCAAUAUUGGCAUGCUUAUUCUCACCAAGAGAGUCCCUCGAACAAUUUGAGAAUUUUCUUCACGUAUGUUGUUGCAUGAGAAACAUGUUUUCUCAUCACACAAUUUGCCACAUUCAUGUAAGCUGCAACUUCUUUCCAGUGGUUGAAUGGAGUUUGCUGUUUCGCCUAAUGUGGGUGAUUUUGCACAAUUGAUCAGAUACCUACAGAACUAUAGCCUAGACAUAUCUGAACUUUGCCUGCAUUAACUUGUUAUUGAACAUCGCAUGUAUUUUUCAAACCUGUGAUUUGUGCCUGCUCAUGCUAUAAUGGGAAAUGCAUAGGGUGUUCAAUUGAGCUGAGUUGAGUUGUUGGACUGUUCAGGUUAUUCUACUCCCACAAUUGAAAGAGCUUUUCUUGAUCUUGGCACAAGCCCUGAAUUGCGAGAUCAUACUUAGCUUGCUAGUAGUCUAUUCAGUGACAAGCAAGUCAAGCUUGAGCUUGCCACAUGGCCAGCAGCAAACCACAUGCAACCAAACCUGUUACCUUUGGUCUUUAUGAAAAUUUGUAAAAGAAGAGGAGAGGAAGAAAGAUUAAUGGUCAUCCAAACAGGCCUGCUUGCCUCAGAUGGAAAGCCUAAGACACAGAUUGGGACACACCAGGUGCAGCUCCUGAAUCCCUCAUCUUUUACUUCUUUUUGAUGCAGGAAUUUACAAAUUCCACAUUUCUCUUAAAAGAGAGAUGGUCAUUAGACUGAUUUAAAUAAGUCAUUCCUUUUUGAUGCUGGACUUCACUAUGAUUGUUGAGGGACAAUAUCAUUGACUGAAUGGAUUGCUUGUUUGUAGAUUUUCUGUUCUUUCUGUUGACCAUUGUUUUCGUUCUUAACUAAUGAAUCCCACACCCAAGGAUGCGAGGAUCCAAACCUAUAUGUGAGUAUUUUAAUCAUGACUUGGUAUUAAGAAGCAACCCAUGCUUCUGAGCUUUUAACCCUGCAAAGCUUGGACUCAGAUCAUUUUCCUAAAAGCAUCUCACAGGGUUUUGACAUGGCUUGCUUGAUUUCUGAGUUUACCCCAGCUAAUAUUGGGCAUAGAGUACCUGAAUAGUUCAUCAGCAACUCAGCUAAUUUGACACUAUGCAGAAAGAAAUGUGUCAUAGCAGUUUCUCUUUGUUAUUUACCUACCUGGUGUCCAUAUGGCAAGAAGGUAUGAACAUGGAUCAUCAGGUUCUCGCCUAUCCAACUGAUUCAAAAGCAAAACACAUAAUUAGGAAAGAAGUUUGGCUAUGUGGGCACAUUUCAUGUAACAUUGCUGAUGAAGUAGAUGCAGAAUUAACUAACCCUUUGCAGAAGGGGAUGAGAAUCUGGAAGUUCGUAUCUGCAUGAUGGUGAAAGAGAGAAAAUUAGAACGUACGAGAAGAUUUUACCUUUUAGUUCUGGCAAAAGAUUUUUGCCUAUUUUUAUCAUGGCCAACAUGAAAUGUGUUGAAAAGCAUUUGGCUUCAAUGCUGAAUGGUGAGAUUUUAUCAUGUUCUAAUUUUGAUUCCCUUAGAAAAAGUUACAAGUUUUGUAUGGGGCUGGUGACAUUUACUUCUUAAGCUAAAUUUUGCCUACUACUGUUUCGAUAAGAAAACAGUUUUAGCGAGGAGGUUGCUACUUACACCUGGUGCUCUGUUCGUAACCGACUAACAUUCUUAAGCUUGGGAACGGGAAUGGAGGCAGCUUCUGCAGUUAAAGCAACUAAGGCCUUAGACAUAUCAGCUUCUUGAAGUUCCAUAUUCUCUUGCAUAUAGUUCUGUAAAUUCUGAGUGAAUUCUUCAAUGUUAAGUUUGAUGAUGGGAAUUUCAUCAGGAUCCUCGCAGAAUGUAUCUUCCAUAUCAUUUUCUGUUACUUGUGUAGACACUGGUUCUGGUGAUGAUGGUUCUUCAAUGAUAGGUUCAUGGUCGGUGAUUCUGGAUUUGCUUUCUGCGAGCCUGCUUGCUUCUGGCUGUUGACUUCCUUCGGAUUGUUUAGCUGUUUGGGGCAGGGGCAGGGGCAGGGACAGGGGCAGUUGAGCAGCAUCCACAGCAGGGUUUUGGCCAGAUAUGUUCUCGGUUGCACUCACUAUGCUUUUUUCUUCUGGUCCUGGAAGGGCAAGCCUUGCACUACAUCCAAUAAGUUUAUGAUAAGUUAACAAAUCUUGCUUUUCAUGCAUGUUAAGGAAAAUGUUGUUCAGGGUAUGUUUCUUAAUUGGGAUUUGUAAAUGCUAAUUUCACUGCAAUAUUUUCUUCAUGGAAAUGGAUGUCCAUGGUAUAAUCAAACUAUGAAGUUAUAGCUGGUUUUUUUCUUAAAAUCAUCAUUUUUACUUAACUGAAUAAUCCAUAACCAUUUGAAGCUUUGGUUAGUUGAUCCAAUUAAAAAAAAAUUAACCUCCAGUUUUUAUGAAAACUAAAGAGGGUUCUAGAUGGUGGUAGGUUUAUGGAACUAAUUCCUGCAUUUGUUUGCUACCAUGCUAACCACACGGCAGUGCCAUUGUAAGAAAUGGAACAAAUUAUAUGCAAACCUUGCAAAUGCACUUGCAAAAUGUCUGCAUUCUCCUCUCAUUGGACAUGCAUUGCAAUUUGGUUUGCUUUUUGUACAGAAUACCUGCAUGAUCUCAAAAUAGUGCUUCCUUAGCUUGAGCUUUUCAUUAACCACAAAGAAGAGCAUAUCACUUCAAGUUUAAAGUAUAUGAAACACACCUUUCCAAAUGUGAUCAUCUGAUAAUGAAGCUCAUACCUGUUUAUGCAUUAACAAUGGAUUAGUAAAAUGUAUUCAUAAUUAAUUCUAUUUGUACAUUAAGUGUAUUCACGGUCGAGGUAAUGUCAAAUGGAAUAUUUCUCUACAGUGUUCUUUGGUCAAGUUUGCACAAUCGAGGCCAGAGGUAUUUUUGAAUUGAUUCCAGCACAGGGUACCUGCACAUCAGCACAUUAGUACUUGUGUCAUAAGCAUUUAGUUAGCAUCAGUAGCCUUUCAGUUAAUAAUACUAACAGCUCUAGAAGAUGCAGCUGAAGUGAUUCAGGCAGUGGCUGAAGGGGGACCCAUCCCAGUCGUACAGCUAUGCGUCCGACAUUUGUGUCAACCUGUUAUGCAGUAUUUAGGGCUGAGAUCUCUAAUAGCCAAAAGUUGAGAUCCGUAUGUUGUUUUGUUUAUGAAGUAUGUCCAACUGAUUAAAGCUUACUGGGAAUGCUAGAUGAUGAAGUGUCAGAAGCCGUAUGCACUCCACACUCUUCAGCCCCAAUCCUCUAAUGCUUAGCAGAUACUCUCUGCAGUAGUGGAAUAUCUCUCAACCAUUCCAGAUCAAUGCUUCCAUGUUCUCUAACCAGUCUAUUAAGCAAGUUCUGCAUGGAUUUUUCAGUCAGUAUCAACUAAGAUAGGCUCUAGCUUUGGUAGUUAUUUUGCAUCUGAAUCAAUGAAUUGUCAGUGACUUUGGGGUCUUCAACAGGCAUGGCUGUAGACUGGACACUCGUAUGCUUGUCUUUUUGAAUGUCGAUGCAUGACUGAUUAUUUGACAUGGGAGAUCUUGAUGCUUCUUGAUUGAUCAAGGGAUCAUAUCAAAGCAGUCAACCUUCACAGCUCCAGAGUUAGAAGUAAGGUGCCAAUAACAAUUACUGGAUGCGACCAUGGACACUCCUAUGGGGCUUUUAUGAUCAUUCAAACUGUCCAUCUUGCCAUUUCCUUGGCU